AGUGAACGCUGGCGGCAGGCCUAACACAUGCAAGUCGAACGGCAGCACAGCAGUUGCAAUACUGUGGGUGGCGAGUGGCGGACGGGUGAGGAAUACAUCGGAAUCUGCCUUAUCGUGGGGGAUAACGUAGGGAAACUUACGCUAAUACCGCAUACGACCUACGGGUGAAAGCGGAGGACCUUCGGGCUCCGCGCGAUAAGAUGAGCCGAUGUCGGAUUAGCUAGUUGGCGGGGUAAAGGCCCACCAAGGCGACGAUCCGUAGCUGGUCUGAGAGGAUGAUCAGCCACACUGGAACUGAGACACGGUCCAGACUCCUACGGGAGGCAGCAGUGGGGAAUAUUGGACAAUGGGCGCAAGCCUGAUCCAGCCAUGCCGCGUGGGUGAAGAAGGCCUUCGGGUUGUAAAGCCCUUUUGUCCGGAAAGAAAAGCAUCGGGUUAAUACCUCGGUGUUCUGACGGUACCGGAAGAAUAAGCACCGGCUAACUUCGUGCCAGCCGCCGCUGUAAAAC
rnacentral:rRNA from 1 species